AUUGAACGCUGGCGGCAUGCCUUACACAUGCAAGUCGAACGGCAGCACGGGUGCUUGCACCUGGUGGCGAGUGGCGAACGGGUGAGUAAUACAUCGGAACAUGUCCUGUAGUGGGGGAUAGCCCGGCGAAAGCCGGAUUAAUACCGCAUACGAUCCACGGCUGAAAGCGGGGGACCUUCGGGCCUCGCGCUAUAGGGUUGGCCGAUGGCUGAUUAGCUAGUUGGUGGGGUAAAGGCCUACCAAGGCGACGAUCAGUAGCUGGUCUGAGAGGACGACCAGCCACACUGGGACUGAGACACGGCCCAGACUCCUACGGGAGGCAGCAGUGGGGAAUUUUGGACAAUGGGCGAAAGCCUGAUCCAGCAAUGCCGCGUGUGUGAAGAAGGCCUUCGGGUUGUAAAGCACUUUUGUCCGGAAAGAAAUCCUUGGCUCUAAUACAGUCGGGGGAUGACGGUACCGGAAGAAUAAGCACCGGCUAACUACGUG
rnacentral:rRNA from 1 species